AUAAUGCUCCUCACAGAGUUCAGCUCCAUUUGUAUUUCAUCCAAAUGAAAGAAGAAAAUCGGGUAGGGGUGAAAUCUACGAAGUGAAGCAUAAAUAAGGUGGUGUCAGUGAAAGCAGCGCAUAUUCCAGUUCAACCGAGUACCACAAAUCACAUCAUGGAAGGAGGCAGAAGAGUCCAAUGGAGGGGCACUCGGUUUGGAGGUCCUCUUCCAAAGCCAAGAGGCUUGAUGGAGAUUGUCAAAGAACUCUGCAGGCUUGAUCCAUUACAAAUUCAUGCUUCCCAUCCUCAACUGGC